rnacentral:rRNA from 1 species
AUGGACUCCGUCGACGAGUUCUUUUUCCACAAUUUCCUUUGUGACUCCGACGAUUUGUCGUCCGACGACGAGGAGAUAUUGGCUGCCGUGUUGGUCCAUCAUCACCUCAACAACCAGUGGCCGUUGUUCCGUGGCUUCAUUCCGGGCCACCUUCCGGCGUUGAAUCGCAACCGAGAGAGCGGGCAUUUCCUUCUCUGGAAGGACUACUUUAAUACAACAAACCCGUUGUUCAAACAUCACAAAUUCUACCGCCGGUUCCGUAUGAGUAGGCAUGUUUUCAACCGUAUUAGAGAGGGAGUGGUCGGCUAUGAUGACUACUUCGAGUGCAAAGAGGAUGCCGUCGGCAAAAUUGGUUUCUCCUCUUAUCAGAAAUGCACUGCCGCCAUCCGAAUGCUUGCAUACGGAGUGCCCGGUGAUCUCGUUGACGAGUACGUCCGUAUGAGCGAGUCUACAUGCCUAGAGUCCCUGUAUAAGUUCUGCAAGGCUGUGAUUGCCGUGUUUGACCUCGAGUACUUGAGAGAGCCGAUAACUGAAGAUACAGCCCGUUUUGUUGGCGAUGAAUGUCAGCAGGGGCUUCCCGGGGAUGCUUGGCAGCAUAGACUGCAUGCACUGGGAGUGGAAGAAUUGCCCUUCUGCUUGGCAAGGGCAGUAUAA